UACGAAGGGGGGCUAGCGUUGUUCGGAAUUACUGGGCGUAAAGGGCGCGUAGGCGGCCCUGUCAGUCAGGCGUGAAAGCCCCCGGGCUCAACCUGGGGAACUGCGCUUGAUACUGCAGGGCUUGAGUUCCGGAGAGGAUGGUGGAAUUCCCAGUGUAGAGGUGAAAUUCGUAGAUAUUGGGAAGAACACCGGUGGCGAAGGCGGCCAUCUGGACGGACACUGACGCUGAGAAGCGAAAGCAUGGGGGAGCGAACAGG
rnacentral:rRNA from 1 species